CUUUUUGGAUGCCUUUGAAAGAUUGCUCUUAACUGGAAAGGCAGAAACCCUCUUUUUUUUUUUUAAACAAAGAUACUCAACUUAUUUUUUCAAAAAAGAAAUGCCCUAGACGGGUUUGUUUUUUUUUAAAAAGGCCGUUUCUGAGACUUUUCAAACCAAAUUGCUUCCCUGACAUUGCAUACUUACCUAAUGGUGGUUCUUCCCUUCAAAUUUCAACCAAAAGAGCAAUAAUGAGCUUCGUGAGGACAAUGGCUAAACCUGACUGGAGGCUCCUGGGGCCCUAAUUCACAACCAAGGAGAGGCAACAGUCACGAUUCAAUAAGGGUGCUAGUACAAGGCACACGCCAGACAGAAAGGAGACAUCUUAUCUGUAUAAUCUACAGACGCUGCUUGAAAAAUCACACAUAAUUAAGCCCUUCUCACAGUGGAAGCUACUUGAAGCUUUAUCACCAGCUUGUAAGAUGUCAUCUCUGGGCUUCACUGAUGGCUCUGAGUGAACAUUUCCAAACCAGAGGCAUCUGACAAUCCGGGUGACGUGUUUACCAUGCCUACCUUAGUCAUCUAACUAAGAAGCUCUGCACUACAUAACUGAAGGAAAGCAGAAUGGCGGGGAUGGCCCUGCGGUGGCUUCCCACACUGGGUGUUCUGUUACAUUAAUCCUGGUGCAAGAAAUAAGACGUGACAGUCAUAUGCAUAUCUAUAUGCCACGCUUGCCUGUCCUCAACUGGCCCUCCCUGUACACAGGCACGCAUUUCCCUUGAGCAACAUCAGAUGAGAAAGCAAUCGCUUUUCCAUUGCAGGGGAAACAGAGAAACAGGAAACCCAGAGGCAACGACUUGCUUGGAGGCCUCCAAGAUGAGAAAAUGGAAGAAGCAAGAAGAUAAGUGACUUACCCAAGCUUCCACAAUUUGUAAGUGACAAAGCUGGGAUUCAAACCUAGGCUGUCUGGUUUCAGAGCUCACACUCUUACCCACCCUGGGAUGUUGACAGGGAAUUUGCAGAGUAAAAGGGGCAGCAACCUUAACGAACAAGUCAAGUCAAUAAUUACAAACCAUGGGCAGGACUAUGAUUGAAAAGAACAGGAAACAAGGGUUAAGAAUAAUAGAAACUGGCCUUCCCUGGUGGCACAGUGGUUAAGAAUCUGCCUGCCAAUGCAGGGGACACCGGUUCAAGCCCUGGUCCAGGAA